rnacentral:tRNA from 1 species
GUGGCUGUGGCUCAGUGGUAGAGCACUUGCCUAGCACGUGUGAGGCACUGGGUUCGAUUCUCAGCAUCACA